UUGCUGUGAUGACAAUCUUAGGACACCUUUGGAUUAACCAUGAAAUAAAACAUGUUCUGAGCAAC